rnacentral:rRNA from 1 species
AGUGAACGCUGGCGGUAGGCCUAACACAUGCAAGUCGAACGGCAGCACAGUAAGAGCUUGCUCUUACGGGUGGCGAGUGGCGGACGGGUGAGGAAUACAUCGGAAUCUACUUUUUCGUGGGGGAUAACGUAGGGAAACUUACGCUAAUACCGCAUGCGACCUACGGGUGAAAGCAGGGGAUCUUCGGACCUUGCGCGAUUGAAUGAGCCGAUGUCGGAUUAGCUAGUUGGCGGGGUAAAGGCCCACCAAGGCGACGAUCCGUAGCUGGUCUGAGAGGAUGAUCAGCCACACUGGAGCUGAGACACGGUCCAGACUCCUACGGGAGGCAGCAGUGGGGAAUAUUGGACAAUGGGCGCAAGCCUGAUCCAGCCAUACCGCGUGGGUGAAGAAGGCCUUCGGGUUGUAAAGCCCUUUUGUUGGGAAAGAAAAGCAGCAGGUUAAUACCCCGCUGUUCUGACGGUACCCAAAGAAUAAGCACCGGCUAACUUCGUG